AUAUGCAUUUAUUAGACCUAACCAGGAACAGUUGUGAAAAAUGCAACUAUAGGUCCCUGGCAGGAAUCGAACCCACGGUCCUGCGAUUCCGGGGCAGCGCUCUAACCAACUGAGCUACAGAGGCCAGUCGUCGAGCUCUAGCCACAAGUUCAUGCAUAUAUAUAUAUAUAUAUAGGGUACUGCCAUGUUUUAGGCUAGGCCAAAAAAAUAUGUGGGUUUCCGGUUUCUUCUUAUAAAAAUUUAGGUAGGGUAGGUCUGUUUUAACUUUUUUUUUUAACUUUUUUUUUAAUUUUCUGAACAAGCGGACGCCAUUUUGUUUAGUCAGUGCUUCCACAUCCAAAGAUAAAUUUCCCUAAUAUUGCCUCAAAUUUCAAUCUUCCACAAACUUUUUCCUCUAAGUGGAAACACUUACAAGCAUGAUCCAAUAAAAAAGUUUAGGGUCGGGAUUUCGACGUCCAAAAGCUAGGUAGGGUCGGGAAACCGGAAACCCACAUAUAUUUUUUUGGCCUUAUAGAUAAAUAUCGAGAUUUUGUUGGCAUCUCACUCGAUUCAAUAAUAGUUGAAGGGUCUUGCAGAUGGAAAUUAUCGAGUGGAAAAUCCAAGGACCUACAGUAUAGUUGCAUUUCUAGCAGCUGUUCCUGGUCAGGUCUAAUAAAUGUACAGUAUAUAAAUUUCCACUAGAUAAUUUCCAUAUCUACUGUACAAGACCCUUCAACUAUCAUUGAAUCGAGUGAGACCACUUUCUGGUCGGAAAAUGUACG